AUAUCAAUAAGCGGAGGAAAAGAAACUAACAAGGAUUCCCCUAGUAACGGCGAGUGAAGCGGGAUGAGCUCAAGCUUAAAAUCUCCGUGCAAGUUUUGCACGGCGAAUUGUAGUCUAUAGAGGCGUGGUCAGCGUGGGCACUUGGGGCAAGUUCCUUGGAAGAGGACAGCAUGGAGGGUGAUACUCCCGUUCAUCCCUGAGUUGCUCGUGCGUACGACCCGUUUUCUUUGAGUCGCGUUGUUUGGGAAUGCAGCGCAAAGUAGGUGGUAAAUUCCAUCUAAAGCUAAAUAUUGGUGCGAGACCGAUAGCGAACAAGUACCGUGAGGGAAAGAUGAAAAGAACUUUGAAAAGAGAGUUAAAGAGUACCUGAAACUGCUGAAAGGGAACCGAAUCGUUUCCAGUGUCUAUAAUCCGUGGCAUAUUUCAUUGGCGAGUGUGUGCGUGCGUGUGCUGUGGCAGUGGCUUUUUUGGCUGCGCUCGGUGUGUGUGCUGUGUGUGCUUGCUGGUGCCCUGUGCUGCGGUGGGACGUCAAGGUCAGUUCGUAUGCUGCGGGAAAUGGCUGCCGAGGAGGUAGGGCUUACGCUUGCGUUUGUCUGUUAUAUCUUGGUGGACGAGUCGUCGCGGUUGGGACUGAGGUGCCUACAACGUGCUUUUGAGUGGGUUUGUGUCUUCGUGUGCGCCGUGUGCGGAUAGCUUGCUAUGCGUGUGUGGUUGUGUGUGGAUUGAUGCGGGCUUUAACUUGUUGCCGUUCGGGACGUUGACGAAAUGGAGCGAUCCGACCCGUCUUGAAACACGGACCAAGGAGUCUAACAUGUGU
rnacentral:rRNA from 4 species